GACGAUUCCUCACACCGCACGCGCGUUUUUUAAUUGCCAGGGGAUAUUUUCAACACCGCGGCUGCUGUGGUCAAGGAAAACAAUGCACAUCUAGUUUUCCCCAACAUUACUCAGCUGCUGAAGACAUAUGGCACACCUCCGGUGUCCACAGCAACUGUGGAACGUUCCUUGUCAAAACUGAAGCUGGUGAAAACCAAACUUCGCAGCCUUUGCAAAGAGGAGAGAUUGUCUGACCUUCUUCUGUUGGCCACUGAGAAGGACAUUCCAGUAAAUGACAAUGAUGUCAUUAACAUUUUUAGGGACAUGUCCAACAGGAAACCUCUGUUAUAAGUGCCUACAACCACUCAUCCUCCACUUAUAGGAGCCUGGAUGCAGUGCAAAAUCAGUCGUGUAUCAGCCUCCUCAUGGUCAG
ensembl:lncRNA